rnacentral:rRNA from 1 species
CCUACGGUGCGCUGCAGUGGGGAAUAUUGCGCAAUGGGCGAAAGCCUGACGCAGCGACGCCGCGUGAGGGAUGAAGGUCUUCGGAUCGUAAACCUCUGUCAGCAGGGAAGAACGGUCACUGUGCUAAUCAGCAGUGAAUUGACGGUACCUGCAAAGGCAGCACCGGCUAACUCCGGGCCAGCAGCCGCGGUAAUACGGAGGGUGCGAGCGUUAAUCGGAAUUAGUGGGCGUAACGCGCUCGUAGGCGGUAUGUCAAGUCAAGGGUGAAAUCCCCGCGCUCAACGUGGGAACGGCCUUUGAAACUGGCAAACUGGAGUGUGUGAGAGGAUAGUGGAAUUCCAGGUGUAGGAGUGAAGUCCGUAGAUAUCUGGAGGAACAUCAGUGGCGAAGGCGACUAUCUGGCACAUAACUGACGCUGAGGAGCGAAAGCGUGGGUAGCAAACAGGAUUAGAUACCCGAGUAGUC